rnacentral:rRNA from 1 species
AACGCGAAGAACCUUACCAAGUCUUGACAUCCCCCUGACCGGAACUUAACCGUUCCUUUCCUUCGGGACAGGGGAGACAGGUGGUGCAUGGUUGUCGUCAGCUCGUGUCGUGAGAUGUUGGGUUAAGUCCCGCAACGAGCGCAACCCUUAUCCUUAGUAGCCAGCAGGUAGAGCUGGGCACUCUAGGGAGACUGCCAGGGAUAACCUGGAGGAAGGUGGGGAUGACGUCAAAUCAUCAUGCCCCUUAUGAUUUGGGCUACACACGUGCUACAAUGGCGUAAACAAAGAGAAGCAAGACCGCGAGGUGGAGCAAAUCUCAAAAAUAACGUCUCAGUUCGGAUUGCAGGCUGCAACUCGCCUGCAUGAAGCUGGAAUCGCUAGUAAUCGCGAAUCAGAAUGUCGCGGUGAAUACGUUCCCGGGUCUUGUACACACCG